rnacentral:hammerhead_ribozyme from 1 species
AUCCAGAUGACGAGUCCCAAAUAGGAAAAAAUGUGCAUCCUGGAU